rnacentral:antisense_RNA from 1 species
UUCAAUGGCGGCUGUGUGCAGGGUGUCUUUGGACGCGCCGGUUUCUCUGGUGCCCGGUCUACUAACCUUCACACAGCUGCCACCCUU